rnacentral:pre_miRNA from 15 species
GUGUGUGUGUGUAUUAAUUGCGUUGCAGUUCCUGGAAUAAAGUUGACUGUGUCGCCUGUAAGGGGAAGGCUUUUGCAUUGCUUACAAAGUCAGCAACUUGAUUCCAGCAACUGCGGCCCAAGCUCAACGUGGGACUAACU